UUAGGAAUCUUGGACAAUGGGCGCAAGCCUGAUCCAGCCAUGCCGCGUGAGUGAUGAAGGCCCUAGGGUUGUAAAGCUCUUUCAGCGGGGAAGAUAAUGACGGUACCCGCAGAAGAAGCCCCGGCUAACUUCGUGCCAGCAGCCGCGGUAAUACGAAGGGGGCUAGCGUUGCUCGGAAUCACUGGGCGUAAAGCGCACGUAGGCGGCUUUCUAAGUCAGGGGUGAAAUCCCGGAGCUCAACUCCGGAACUGCCUUUGAUACUGGAAAGCCUGAGUCCGGGAGAGGUGAGUGGAACUGCGAGUGUAGAGGUGAAAUUCGUAGAUAUUCGCAAGAACACCAGUGGCGAAGGCGGCUCACUGGCCCGAUACUGACGCUGAGGUGCGAAAGCGUGGGGAGCAAAC
rnacentral:rRNA from 1 species